GGGUGUUGAUGCCAUGUGAUUUCUGCCCAGCAUUCUGAAUGUCAAAAUGAAGAAAUUCAAUGAGCAUGGGUAAAAGGUGGGAGUAAC
rnacentral:rRNA from 1 species